rnacentral:rRNA from 1 species
AUUAUACAGCGAAACUGCGAAUGGCUCAUUAAAUCAGUUAUCGUUUAUUUGAUAGUACCUUACUACUUGGAUAACCGUGGUAAUUCUAGAGCUAAUACAUGCUGAAAACCCCGACUCACGGAGGGGUGUAUUUAUUAAAUAAAAAACCAAUGCCCUUCGGGGCUCUUUGGUGAUUCAUAAUAACUUCUCGAAUCGCAUGGGCUUGCGCCGGCGAUGGUUCAUUCAAAUUUCUGCCCUAUCAACUUUCGAUGGCAAGGUCUUGGCCUACCAUGGUUACAACGGGUAACGGAGGGUUAGGGCUCGACUCCGGAGAGGGAGCCUGAGAAACGGCUACCACAUCCAAGGAAGGCAGCAGGCGCGCAAAUUACCCAAUCCCGACACGGGGAGGUAGUGACAAUAAAUACUGAUACAGGGCUCUUUUGGGUCUUGUAAUUGGAAUGAGUACAAUUUAAACCCCUUAACGAGGAACAAUUGGAGGGCAAGUCUGGUGCCAGCAGCCGCGGUAAUUCCCCCUCCACUAUAGCAUAUAUAAGUUCUUGCGCUUAAAAGCUCGUAGUUGAACCUUGGGCCUGGCGGGCCGGUCCGCCUCACCGCGUGUACUGGUCCGGCCGGGCCUUUCCUUCUGGAGAGCCGCAUGCCCUUCAGUGGGUGUGCCGGGGAACCAGGACUUUUAAUUUGAAAAAAUUAGAGUGUUCAAAGCAGGCCUUUGCUUGAAUACCUUAACCUGGAAUAAUAGAAUAGGACGGGCGGUCCUAUUUUGUUGGUUUCUAGGACAGCCGUAAUGAUUAAUAGGGACAGUCGGGGGCAUCAGUAUUCAAUUGUCAGAGGUGAAAUUCUUGGAUUUAUUGAAGACGAACUACUGCGAAAGCAUUUGCCAAGGAUGUUUUCAUUAAUCAGUGAACGAAAGUUAGGGGAUCGAAGAAGAUCAGAUACCGUCGUAGUCUUAACCUUAAACUAUGCCGACUAGGGAUCGGGCGAUGUUAUUAUUUGACUCGUUCGGCACCUUACGAGAAAUCAAAGUCUUUGGG